rnacentral:lncRNA from 1 species
CAGAGGCCUGCCUGGCUCAGAGCCUGACCACUCCCAAUAAAACUGCUGCUUGUGAGUCCACAGGCAUUGGCAGGGCAGGCUUGAGCCACCUCCUCCAGAGAAGCCACUCCCCCACCCUUUUGCCACACUCAGUAGCUGAGGUUGGCUCCCACAGCCCAACCCCACCCUGUGGCUGGAGGAGACCAAGACCAGCUAGAAACUCAGCAGCAGCUUCCAGUCCAACCACUGAAACUCCUGGUCUGAGACCACUUCUUGCUGUCAAAAGAAGGCAGGCAGGUAGGGGCCCCUGGGAGGCAGUUCUGUGGCAGUGAAGUUGAAGCUGAGUGAUGCAGAGGGAGAAAGAAAACAAUGAGCGAUGGCUUCUGCCACAGGCAGUGAACCCUGAGGAAACCAGCACCGUGCUGUGACUACUCACAAUAUACACAAGAGUUCAGGCUGCUUUUGUGCGAGAGGGUCAACUUUUUCAAAAUUUUUCAAUGUACAGCCAGGUUGAAAAGCUACUGGUCUAGAACCAGAGAGCCCUCAAUUCCACUCUCAUCAGAACAUCUAGUACAGUCCUGGCACCACAUCUUAGAGGACCUUUGACAUACUGGAACAAAAUCAAACGAGAGUGACCAGGAUGGCAAGCUUCCUAGAAACUGUUUCAUAGAACUUGUGGAGGGAAUUAAAGAACUAAAUCCGGAGGAGGUAACUUAAGAGGCUGUGACACUGUCUCCACCCUCUACUGGCAGCUCUGGUUCUCUCCAUCUCCUCCUCUGCAGGUCUUGAUUUCAGAAAGACUGGGGCAGUUUGCUUGAGAUUCCAAGUUCUCUGAGGUCGCAUUCCAGGAGCUGGUGGACGCCUGUGACACGACAGUAGAGGAGAUGGAGAACGUGGCCGACAACAACCUCUCUGGGGGUGCCUAGCACAGCUCCAACGGUACCCUACUAUCUUUUGCAAAUUAGAAGAACCUGGGGCAGGACAGGCGGGCAUCUAGGAAGACAGGAGCUGCGCGCGCACGCACCGUGGAGCGCUGCGGGAGCAAGAGGAGCUCCAGGACUGUAGGGCUGGAGCCUGGAGGUUGUUGCAAGGUUCCUAAUGAGUUUGUUUCAGAAAUGCCUAGCUUUUCUGAAGGCUUGGGUCCAGGGCUGGGAGAGCCCGCUUUUAGGCAGGAAGAGAAGCCGCGAAGCAGUGUGUGUCCACCGAGCGACAGGAGCGAAGCGGGGGGAAGAAUCUCGGCGGAGGGCGAGGCCCCUGCGCGGGUCCUUGGCUGUCAGCCCUGAGCCGGGUCCAACGCCGCCUCCGGGGCCCGAGAGGACCUACCCUCCCUGCGGCGGCUCGCUCAGAAAGGACCCUCGAGCAAACGGGUGUCUUUCAACUUCGCUUGUAAAAAAUCGUUUGUACACAUUCUGUAUGAGCCUCACUGUCCCCAUAGAGCCAGGCCCUGUGCAUUUGGAGAAGGAGAGGGGUGUGACUUCCAGCAAGAGCCCAGCCUACUGGAGAGGGACGAGGAAGAGCGGAGGAGACAGCAGCGCUGGGGGACAGGCGCGCAGGGCCCGGGACGCUGGCAGAGUGGCGGCUUCACCCCGAGUCCCGCGGCUGCAGCCCCGGCCACCUCCGCUCUUCGCGACAGAUCCGUUUGCCUGCACAAGCCACGCGAGCUGCAGACCAGAGCCCGGCCAGCCGCGCCAGUGCGAGCCAGGACAGGACCGAGCUGGCGCUGCCCCCAGCUCUCACCGAACCCGGUGGGGCUGAGCUUCCCUCGAGUGGUCUUUUGUAGUUUGACAUUUUUCUUGACAGCAUGUUGUAGCUUUCUUUUCUUCUUCUUUUUUCUUUUUUUCUGGUUUAUUUUAUUUUUGUUUUCUGAGGGGAAGGGAAGGAAGAAGAGUGCCUUUAAAUUUUGUAGCCACCCAUCUUACUGUUUUCACUUUUGCAUAUGUAAACCAGGUUUGAUUUUACCGUAUUCAUUAAAUAGUUGUAGUUUUAUUUUCCACGGAGGAAGGGUUCACCAAUAACUGCUGUAGGAGAGUUUUACCAGCCUUUGUGUAUGUCCAAUAAUUUGUUAUAAUUUCCUUAGGUAGUAACAGUUUUUUUCUUUUGGGGUUUGGUUUUAUAAAUAUUGGCAAUGCACUCCAUACUGUCUGUGCGAUUGAGUUGGUUUCCUUAUGCUGGGUGUGUUGGUGGGUGCAGGAGAAUGAAAGCAUGAGUUUCUGUGUUGUGAGUGUGUACAUAAUUGGUUGUCUAUGUGCAUAUGUCAUAUGUGUGUGUUUGCACCCAUCUAUAUUUAGUUCCCUCUCUGUAAUUCCCUCUUCUGGUUUAACUGUGGUGAGAUCUGAAUCUAGGGCCAUUUGGAAAUCAAAAACACCACUGCCUCUGCUUCUAAAAGGGGAAUCAGUAACUCCUGGCAUUUUUGUUCCACAAGAUAUACAAAAGCAAUUCAUACCGUUGCAAGUUGUGUUAACAUUUAAAACUGUAUUUUGGGGGCAUGGGGUACAAGGGAUUCAACUCAGAGGCACUCUAUCACUAAGCCACAUCCCCAAACCUAUUUUGUAUUUUGUUUACAGAUAGGGUCUCACUGAGUUUCUUAGUGCCUCCCCGCUACUGAGGCUGGCUUUGAACUUGCAAUCCUCCUGGUUCAGCCUUCUGAGCCACUGGGAUUAUAGGCGUGCACCACGCCUGAGGCAUAAAAACUGUAUUUUUAAAAAACGGAUAAAUUGGGGGCUGGAGUUGUGGCUCAGUGAUAGAGCACUUGCCUAGCAUGUGUGAGGCACUGGGUUAAACAAAUGAAUAAAAUAAAGGCCCAUCAACAACUAAAAAAAUAUUUGAAAAACAGAUAAGUUUAAGGGAAAAACCUCAAGAAGGCAUUUUUCUUCAAUAUAUUCCACGUGAUAUUUUAUUGAUCAAUAAUGUUACUGAAGAAACCAUCGUACUUGAAUUCAGGUCAGUUUCAGUACUUUUUAAACAAUAUUUUUUUUAAACUGAAUUGCAAUUGUGCCAAGCGAAUAUAAUGAAUUAAGUUUGUUUUUUAAUUCACUUCUUGUAUAUUUUGCUGCAUGUAAAGUAAAUCAUUUUGUAUUUGGAGUGUGACAAACUUUACCUUUGAACUCAAGUGCUUUUCUAUGUGUGGUUGGGGGAAAGGGAAGGAUUUUUCUUUUCACUAGUACAAUGCACAAGUACCAGCAUAAGUCAUUACUCUGCUAUCCACAAACAGGUUCAGACAUGACUGUUUUGCAUAUCUUGUGUUCACUUCCAUUUCCAUCCAUUCUUCCAAACUCCUAUGAUAGCUAUAUGUGUACCACAUCUUGCUUUAGGAGACCAGGACAUCCUCUCAUUCAGGUCUUUACUCUCUCCUCCCUGCUGUGGUUCUCUGACUCAGUACUUGUCCAAGAGCAGCUUCCCCAUGAUGUGCAGUGAGGCUUCAGCAUCCCCCUAGGAAGAGGUGGCUGGUUUUUCUGGUCACUCCCACAGCACAAAGGUUUGGAUUCCUUAGUACCUCCCACACUGACAGAGGAUGAAAUUAAGGUCAGGCUAGUGGGUGGGGAGGGGGUAAGCCUCCCUUCAGACAACUGGUCUACCCAAUUGCAGCUAGCCCUGCUAGAGAGAGGAAAGUGGGUGAAUGAAUCCCUGAUCCUUACAGAAGUCACUUCUUGUCAGACUCACUUCAUCCUUUCCUCACUCUAGAGCAGGAUUCCCUCCAGACCCACUCUAACUAUGUGGCAGUGAAGGGGGGACCCCAACAAGGGAGAGAGCAUCAGGAAUUCACAGUGGAGGAGGAAAUAGAUUUUGUGGGGGCACCUCUUAUGCUCUUUGGCACUUACCUGGAGCAUCACCCUGUUAGUGCUAUGUCUUUCAAUUAUACCAAGGAUAGUUGAAAAGUGAUAGUUGACUGUUUGGGAGAAAAUAGAUCCAACAGUUCACUCAAAAUUUACCCACUGUGGCUGGGGAUGUGGCUCAAGCAGUAGCAUGCUCGCCUGGCAUGCGUGCGGCCCGGGUUCGAUCCUCAGCACCACAUACAAACAAAGAUGUUGUGUCCGCCGAAAA